AUUGAACGCUGGCGGCAGGCCUAACACAUGCAAGUCGAACGUGUGGCGGACGGGUGAGUAAUGUCGGGGAAACUGCCCGAUGGAGGGGGAUACCUACUGGAAACAGUAGCUAAUACCGCAUACCAUCGCAUUUGCCCAGAUGGGAUUUGUUUGUAGGUGGGGUAACGGCUCACCAAGGCGACGAUCCCUAGCUGGUCUCAGCGGGUGACCAGCCACACUGGAACUGAGAAACGGUCCAGACUCCUACGUGAGGCAGCAGUGGGGAAUAUUGCACAAUGGGCGCAAGCCUGAUGCAGCCAUGCCGCGUGUGUGAAGAAGGCUUUCGGGUGGUAAAGUACUUUCAGUGGGGAGGCGUUACUCGCAGAAGAAGCACCGGCUAAAUCCGGGGCAGCAGCCGCGGUAAUUC
rnacentral:rRNA from 1 species